GGAUGGGAUUGGGGUGAGUGUGAGGUCACUGGGAGGUCACUGGGUGUUACUGGGAGGUCACUGGUGGUCACUGGGAGGUCACUGCUGGUCACUGGAAGGUCACUACUGGUCACUGGGAGGUCACUGGGUGUUACUGGGAGGUCACUGGUGGUCACUGGUAGGUCACUGGUGGUUACUGGGAGGUCACUGGUGGUCACUGGGCCCCCCCCAGGUCACAACGCUGACGACGUGGCCGAGACAGUUCUGAUGAACUUCCUGCGUGGGGACGUGGCCCGGCUGCGGCGCGCAGCCAACGAGGCCACCGGGGCCACUAACGAGGCCACCGCGACCACCAGUGAGUUCUCCAGGGCCACCAACGAGGCCACUGGGGCCAGUGAGGCCACCACAGCCACCAGUGAGGCCACUGGGACCACCAACAAGGCCACUGAGGCCAAUGAGGCCACUGGGGCCACCAAGAAGGAACCCAACAGAAACCCAACGGAACCCAACGACAACUCAUUGGAACCCAAUGACAACUCAUCGGAACCCAAUGACAACUCAUCGGAACCCAACGGAAACCCAACGGAACCCAAUGACAACUCAUCGGAACCCAACGGCAACUCAACAGAACCCAACGGCCACUCACCAGAACCCAAUGACAACUCAUCGGAACCCAACAGAAACCCAACAAAAUUGAACAGAAACCCAAUGGAACCCAACAGAAACCCAAUGGAACCCAACAACAACACAACGGAACCCAACCAUGACUCAUUGGAACCCAACAGAAACCCCACAAAAUUCGACAGAAACUCAAUGCAACCCAACGUCAAUUCAUCAGAACCCAAGGGAAACCUGAGAAACAGCAAUGGAAACCCAGCGAAAUUCAACAGGAACCCAAGGAAACGCACCCAGACCCCCCCCCGACCCAACGCUGCCCCCCCAGUGGUACCGCGGCUGAAACCGCUGCGUCACGCAGCGCAGAGGGAGAUUGUGCUCUACGCCCACUUCCUGGGGCUCUCCUACGCCAGCUCCGAGUGCCACCACGCGCCCUUGGCCUUCCGGGGCCAUCCCGCGCCCUCCUCAAGGCUGGAGGACACCCGCCG
rnacentral:lncRNA from 1 species